rnacentral:rRNA from 1 species
GGUUAAGUGAAUAAGGGCGCACGGUGGAUGCCUUGGCACUAGGAGCCGAUGAAGGACGGGACUAACACCGAUAUGCUUUGGGGAGCUGUAAGUAAGCUAUGAUCCAGAGAUUUCCGAAUGGGGGAACCCAAUAUCUUUUAUAGGAUAUUACUUUUCAGUGAAUACAUAGCUGAUUAGAGGUAGACGCAGAGAACUGAAACAUCUUAGUACCUGCAGGAAGAGAAAGAAAAUUCGAUUCCCUGAGUAGCGGCGAGCGAAACGGGAAGAGCCCAAACCAACAAGCUUGCUUGUUGGGGUUGUAGGACUCCAAUAUGGUAGUCUGUUAGUAUAGUUGAAGGAUUUGGAAAAUUCCGCUAAAGAGGGUGAAAGCCCCGUAGACGAAAUGCUGACAACACCUAGGAGGAUCCUGAGUACGGCGGAACACGAGAAAUUCCGUCGGAAUCCGCGGGGACCAUCCCGCAAGGCUAAAUACUCCCUAGUGACCGAUAGUGAACCAGUACCGUGAGGGAAAGGUGAAAAGCACCCCGGAAGGGGAGUGAAAUAGAUCCUGAAACCGUGUGCCUACAACAAGUCAAAGCUCGUUAAUGAGUGAUGGCGUGCCUUUUGUAGAAUGAACCGGCGAGUUACGAUUGCAUGCGAGGUUAAGUCGAAGAGACGGAGCCGCAGCGAAAGCGAGUCUGAAUAGGGCGAAUGAGUAUGUAGUCGUAGACCCGAAACCAUGUGAUCUACCCAUGUCCAGGUUGAAGGUGCGGUAAAACGCACUGGAGGACCGAACCCACGUACGUUGAAAAGUGCGGGGAUGAGGUGUGGGUAGCGGAGAAAUUCCAAACGAACUUGGAGAUAGCUGGUUCUCUCCGAAAUAGCUUUAGGGCUAGCCUCGGAAUUGAGAAUGAUGGAGGUAGAGCACUGUUUGGACUAGGGGCCCAUCUCGGGUUACCGAAUUCAGAUAAACUCCGAAUGCCAUUCAUUUAUAUCCGGGAGUCAGACUGCGAGUGAUAAGAUCCGUAGUCGAAAGGGAAACAGCCCAGACCACCAGCUAAGGUCCCAAAAUAUAUGUUAAGUGGAAAAGGAUGUGGGGUUGCACAGACAACUAGGAUGUUGGCUUAGAAGCAGCCACCAUUUAAAGAGUGCGUAAUAGCUCACUAGUCGAGUGACCCUGCGCCGAAAAUGUACCGGGGCUAAACAUAUUACCGAAGCUGUGGACUACACCAUUAGGUGUAGUGGUAGGAGAGCGUUCUAAGGGCGUUGAAGGUCGAUCGUGAGGACGGCUGGAGCGCUUAGAAGUGAGAAUGCCGGUAUGAGUAGCGAAAGACAGGUGAGAAUCCUGUCCACCGUAUGACUAAGGUUUCCUGGGGAAGGCUCGUCCGCCCAGGGUUAGUCGGGACCUAAGCCGAGGCCGAUAGGCGUAGGCGAUGGACAACAGGUUGAUAUUCCUGUACCAGUUGUUUUUGUUUGAGCAAUGGAGGGACGCAGUAGGCUAAGGAAUGCAUGCGAUUGGAAGUGCAUGUCCAAGCAAUGAGUCUUGAGUAGAGUUAAAUGCUUUACUCUUUAAGGACAAGUUGUGACGGGGAGCGAAAUAAUAGUAGCGAAGUUCCUGAUGUCACACUGCCAAGAAAAGCUUCUAGUGAGAAAACAACUGCCCGUACCGUA